UAGGGAAUUUUCCACAAUGGGGGCAACCCUGAUGGAGCAACGCCGCGUGCAGGAUGAAGGCUUUCGGGUCGUAAACUGCUUUUCUCUGUGAUGAUUAUGACAGUAGCAGAGGAAUAAGGAUCGGCUAACUCCGUGCCAGCAGCCGCGGUCAUACGGAGGAUCCAAGCGUUAUCCGGAAUUACUGGGCGUAAAGAGUUGCGUAGGCGGUCUUGUAAGCAGGGCAUGAAAUAGUGUGGCUCAACCAUACUGCUAUGUUCUGAACUGCAAUGACUAGAGGAUGAGAGAGGUCACUGGAAUUCCAAGUGUAGGAGUGAAAUCCGUAGAUAUUUGGAGGAACACCGAUGGCGUAGGCAGGUGACUGGCUCAUUCCUGACGCUCAGGCACGAAAGCGUGGGUAGCAAACG
rnacentral:rRNA from 1 species